GGGCAAGGAAAGUGUCAUAAUUUGAUACUGUAUCUGUUUUCCUUCAAAGUAUAGAGCUUUUGGGGAAGGAAAGUAUUGAACUGGGGGUUGGUCUGGCCUACUGGGCUGACAUUAACUACAAUUAUGGGAAAUGCAAAAGUUGUUUGGAUAUGGUAGUGUGUGGUUCUCUUUUGGAAUUUUUUUCAGGUGAUUUAAUAAUAAUUUAAAACUACUAUAGAAACUGCAGAGCAAAGGAAGUGGCUUAAUGAUCCUGAAGGGAUUUCUUCUGAUGGUAGCUUUUGUAUUAUCAAGUAAGAUUCUAUUUUCAGUUGUGUGUAAGCAAGUUUUUUUUUAGUGUAGGAGAAAUACUUUUCCAUUGUUUAACUGCAAAACAAGAUGUUAAGGUAUGCUUCAAAAAUUUUGUAAAUUGUUUAUUUUAAACUUAUCUGUUUGUAAAUUGUAACUGAUUAAGAAUUGUGAUAGUUCAGCUUGAAUGUCUCUUAGAGGGUGGGCUUUUGUUGAUGAGGGAGGGGAAACUUUUUUUUUUUCUAUAGACUUUUUUCAGAUAACAUCUUCUGAGUCAUAACCAGCCUGGCAGUAUGAUGGCCUAGAUGCAGAGAAAACAGCUCCUUGGUGAAUUGAUAAGUAAAGGCAGAAAAGAUUAUAUGUCAUACCUCCAUUGGGGAAUAAGCAUAACCCUGAGAUUCUUACUACUGAUGAGAACAUUAUCUGCAUAUGCCAAAAAAUUUUAAGCAAAUGAAAGCUACCAAUUUAAAGUUACGGAAUCUACCAUUUUAAAGUUAAUUGCUUGUCAAGCUAUAACCACAAAAAUAAUGAAUUGAUGAGAAAUACAAUGAAGAGGCAAUGUCCAUCUCAAAAUACUGCUUUUACAAAAGCAGAAUAAAAGCGAAAAGAAAUGAAAAUGUUACACUACAUUAAUCCUGGAAUAAAAGAAGCCGAAAUAAAUGAGAGAUGAGUUGGGAUCAAGUGGAUUGAGGAGGCUGUGCUGUGUGCCAAUGUUUCGUUUGCCUCAGACAGGUAUCUCUUCGUUAUCAGAAGAGUUGCUUCAUUUCAUCUGGGAGCAGAAAACAGCAGGCAGCUGUUAACAGAUAAGUUUAACUUGCAUCUGCAGUAUUGCAUGUUAGGGAUAAGUGCUUAUUUUUAAGAGCUGUGGAGUUCUUAAAUAUCAACCAUGGCACUUUCUCCUGACCCCUUCCCUAGGGGAUUUCAGGAUUGAGAAAUUUUUCCAUCGAGCCUUUUUAAAAUUGUAGGACUUGUUCCUGUGGGCUUCAGUGAUGGGAUAGUACACUUCACUCAGAGGCAUUUGCAUCUUUAAAUAAUUUCUUAAAAGCCUCUAAAGUGAUCAGUGCCUUGAUGCCAACUAAGGAAAUUUGUUUAGCAUUGAAUCUCUGAAGGCUCUAUGAAAGGAAUAGCAUGAUGUGCUGUUAGAAUCAGAUGUUACUGCUAAAAUUUACAUGUUGUGAUGUAAAUUGUGUAGAAAACCAUUAAAUCAUUCAAAAUAAUAAACUAUUUUUAUUAGAGAAUGUAUACUUUUAGAAAGCUGUCUCCUUAUUUAAAUAAAAUAGUGUUUGUCUGUAGUUCAGUGUUGGGGCAAUCUUGGGGGGGAUUCUUCUCUAAUCUUUCAGAAACUUUGUCUGCGAACACUCUUUAAUGGACCAGAUCAGGAUUUGAGCGGAAGAACGAAUGUAACUUUAAGGCAGGAAAGACAAAUUUUAUUCUUCAUAAAGUGAUGAGCAUAUAAUAAUUCCAGGCACAUGGCAAUAGAGGCCCUCUAAAUAAGGAAUAAAUAACCUCUUAGACAGGUGGGAGAUUAUGAUCAGAGUAAAAGGUAAUUACACAUUUUAUUUCCAGAAAGUCAGGGGUCUAUAAAUUGACAGUGAUUAGAGUAAUACUUUUUCACAUUUCCAAAGUUUGCAUGUUAACUUUAAAUGCUUACAAUCUUAGAGUGGUAGGCAAUGUUUUACACUAUUGACCUUAUAUAGGGAAGGGAGGGGGUGCCUGUGGGGUUUUAAAGAAUUUUCCUUUGCAGAGGCAUUUCAUCCUUCAUGAAGCCAUUCAGGAUUUUGAAUUGCAUAUGAGUGCUUGGCUCUUCCUUCUGUUCUAACUUCACAGAGAAUGCAGUUGUCUUGACUUCAGAUGCAACCUUAAAAUCAGUGACAAGAAACAUUCCAAACAAGCAACAGUCUUCAAGAAAUUAAACUGGCAAGUGGAAAUGUUUAAACAGUUCAGUGAUCUUUAGUGCAUUGUUUAUGUGUGGGUUUCUCUCUCCCCUCCCUUGGUCUUAAUUCUUACAUGCAGGAACACUCAGCAGACACACGUAUGCGAAGGGCCAGAGAAGCCAGACCCAGUAAGAAAAAAUAGCCUAUUUACUUUAAAUAAACCAAACAUUCCAUUUUAAAUGUGGGGAUUGGGAACCACUAGUUCUUUCAGAUGGUAUUCUUCAGACUAUAGAAGGAGCUUCCAGUUGAAUUCACCAGUGGACAAAAUGAGGAAAACAGGUGAACAAGCUUUUUCUGUAUUUACAUACAAAGUCAGAUCAGUUAUGGGACAAUAGUAUUGAAUAGAUUUCAGCUUUAUGCUGGAGUAACUGGCAUGUGAGCAAACUGUGUUGGCGUGGGGGUGGAGGGGUGAGGUGGGCGCUAAGCCUUUUUUUAAGAUUUUUCAGGUACCCCUCACUAAAGGCACCGAAGGCUUAAAGUAGGACAACCAUGGAGCCUUCCUGUGGCAGGAGAGACAACAAAGCGCUAUUAUCCUAAGGUCAAGAGAAGUGUCAGCCUCACCUGAUUUUUAUUAGUAAUGAGGACUUGCCUCAACUCCCUCUUUCUGGAGUGAAGCAUCCGAAGGAAUGCUUGAAGUACCCCUGGGCUUCUCUUAACAUUUAAGCAAGCUGUUUUUAUAGCAGCUCUUAAUAAUAAAGCCCAAAUCUCAAGCGGUGCUUGAAGGGGAGGGAAAGGGGGAAAGCGGGCAACCACUUUUCCCUAGCUUUUCCAGAAGCCUGUUAAAAGCAAGGUCUCCCCACAAGCAACUUCUCUGCCACAUCGCCACCCCGUGCCUUUUGAUCUAGCACAGACCCUUCACCCCUCACCUCGAUGCAGCCAGUAGCUUGGAUCCUUGUGGGCAUGAUCCAUAAUCGGUUUCAAGGUAAUAGCCUGCAGCUGGUGUUUUGAGAAGCCCUACUGCUGAAAACUUAACAAUUUUGUGUAAUAAAAAUGGAGAAGCUCUAAA
rnacentral:lncRNA from 1 species